rnacentral:rRNA from 1 species
GCAAGUCGAGGGGUAACAUUGUAGCUUGCUCCGCUGACGACCGGCGAACGGGUGCGUAACGCGUAUAGAAUCUACCUCUUACUAAGGGAUAGCCCAGAGAAAUUUGGAUUAAUAUCUUAUAGUAUGUUAACUUGGCAUCAAGAUAACAUUAAAGGUUACGGUAUGAGAUGACUAUGCGUUCUAUUAGCUAGAUGGUGUGGUAACGGCACACCAUGGCAACGAUAGAUAGGGGCCCUGAGAGGGGGAUC